rnacentral:rRNA from 1 species
UACAGAGGGGGCAAGCGUUGUUCGGAAUUACUGGGCGUAAAGGGCGCGUAGGCGGCCUGUUAAGUCGAACGUGAAAUCCCCGGGCUUAACCUGGGAAUGGCAUUUGGGACUGGCAAGGCUGGAGUGCGGCAGAGGAGACGUGGAAUUCCUGGUGUAGCGGUGAAAUGCGCAGAUAUCAGGAGGAACACCGGUGGUGUAGACGGCUCUCUGGACCGUAACUGACGCUGAGGCACGAAAGCGUGGGUAGCAAACAGG